rfam:Cryomorphaceae bacterium BACL21 MAG-121220-bin10 contig00013.0_to_4_1_121220-bin10, whole genome shotgun sequence.
CGCGCAGGCCGCCUUAUCGCCUUUAUUUAUAAAGGAGGAAAGUCCGGGCACCAUAGGGAAGCAUAGCGGCUAACGGCCGUCGGUUCAUUUUUAAUGGAUCAGGACCAGUGCAACAGAAAGAAUGUACAGAUCAUGCUGUAGUGAAACCAGGUAAACUCUAUGCGGUGAAAUGCCAUGUAAACCUAUGUUUGAGAGUUCCCGCUUGAGUAGGAGGGUAGGCAGAUGGAGUGCUGAAGUAAUUCAGCACCUAGAUAAAUGAUGAGGAUUCGCCUCGGCGAAUACAGAAUCCGGCUUAUAGGCCUGCUUUUUUU